rnacentral:rRNA from 1 species
UCGCAGCGAAAGCGAUAACACACCGCCUGGGGAGUACGACCGCAAGGUUAAAACUCAAAUGAAUUGACGGGGACCCGCACAAGUAGUGGAGCAUGUGGUNUAAUUCGAAGAUACGCGCAGAACCUUACCAACACUUGACAUGUUCGUCGCGACUUUAAGAGAUUAAAGUUUUCGGUUCGGCCGGACGAAACACAGGUGCUGCAUGGCUGUCGUCAGCUCGUGUCGUGAGAUGUUGGGUUAAGUCCCGCAACGAGCGCAACCCUCACUUUUAGUUGCCAUCAUUAAGUUGGGCACUCUGAAAGAACUGCCAGUGAUAAGCUGGAGGAAGGUGGGGAUGACGUCAAGUCCUCAUGGCCCUUACGUGUUGGGCUACACACGUGCUACAAUGGUAUCUACUACAGGAAGCCAAACCGCGAGGUUAAGCAAAUCCUUAAAAGAUACCUCAGUUCGGAUUGCACUCUGCAACUCGAGUGCAUGAAGCUGGAAUUACUAGUAAUCGUGGAUCAGCGUGCCACGGUGAAUGCGUUCCCGGGUCUUGUACACACCGCCCGUCACACCAUGGGAGUGGUUCUACCUUAAGGCAGGUUUCAAACCCUUGACCACGGUAUAGUCUGCGACUGGGUGAAGUCGUAACAGGUAACC